rnacentral:rRNA from 1 species
GCAUUCGAUACUGGGAAGCUAGAGUAUGGGAGAGGAUGGUAGAAUUCCAGGUGUAGCGGUGAAAUGCGUAGAGAUCUGGAGGAAUACCGAUGGCGAAGGCAGCCAUCUGGCUAAUACUGACGCUGAGGUACGAAAGCAUGGGGAGCAAACAGGAUUAGAUACCCUGGUAGUCCAUGCCGUAAACGAUGUCUACUAGCCGUUGGGGCCUUUGAGGCUUUAGUGGCGCAGCUAACGCGAUAAGUAGACCGCCUGGGGAGUACGGUCGCAAGACUAAAACUCAAAUGAAUUGACGGGGGCCCGCACAAGCGGUGGAGCAUGUGGUUUAAUUCGAUGCAACGCGAAGAACCUUACCUGGCCUUGACAUACUAGAAACUUUCCAGAGAUGGAUUGGUGCCUUCGGGAAUCUAGAUACAGGUGCUGCAUGGCUGUCGUCAGCUCGUGUCGUGAGAUGUUGGGUUAAGUCCCGCAACGAGCGCAACCCUUUUCCUUACCUGCCAGCAUUUCGGAUGGGAACUUUAAGGAUACUGCCAGUGACAAACUGGAGGAAGGCGGGGACGACGUCAAGUCAUCAUGGCCCUUACGGCCAGGGCUACACACGUGCUACAAUGGUCGGUACAAAGGGUUGCUACACAGCGAUGUGAUGCUAAUCUCAAAAAGCCGAUCGUAGUCCGGAUUGGAGUCUGCAACUCGGCUCCAUGAAGUCGGAAUCGCUAGUAAUCGCGGAUCAGAAUGCCGCGGUGAAUACGUUCCCGGGCCUUGCACUCACCGCCCGUCA